UGAUAGAGUAGGUAAACUACCAUUAUACUCCAUAUCAUCAAAGUGCAGAGGACCAAAUUCCAUAGUCAAUCCUUCAAGUGAAGAGCAACCAGGUCCACCGGUUAUCCAUAGUAUAAGCGGGUCGGUUUCAGGAUCCGACUCUGACUUCACAAAAUAAUAAAACAGCUGCACUUCUUCACCUACACCAACUCCUAUAUAUCCAGUAUCUAGUUGAAAAGGAAGAAAACCGAAGCCAGGCAAAUACUUGACUGAAGAAGUUGAUACAUCAAAGUGUGGAGAUGGAGUUCUGUGCACUGGAAGACAAAAGAGGUAAAUGAUAAAUAGAGGAUACACAUAUUGUAGAUAACUCAACACCAAAAUCAGUUUUCCUCCAUCCAUUUCCCCCUGCAAAACCUUGUGCACUUUCUGGUUUUG
rnacentral:misc_RNA from 1 species